UCCAUCCAGCCAUCCAUUUUCCAAACCGCUUAUCCUACUGGGUCGCGGGGGGCCCGGAGCCUAUCCCGGAAGCAAUGGGCACGAGGCAGGGAACAACCCAGGAUGGGGGGCCAGCCCAUCGGAGCGUGACUUAAUUAUCCUGGUUAAUAUUUGCGCCCUUUCCGUUACCAGGGAGAUUCUUACAUUCAGCUCAUGGAUCGCUCAUGAGCAGGUGUCGCUAAUGAGCAAGGUAGCAAAGUAGUAAGGGUUAAACCGAAAACUUGGCGAAUGUGGAUGAACCUAAUAUUUAAAAUGAUAUUAGGCCAGAUAUAUGGAUACGAGGGAAUCGGUCGUGAGCCGCCAGGUCACGCAGAUUUACGAGGAAUGGUGCGGAUCCGGGAGUACGGGCGGCUGGCCAGCGCCACCUAGUGUUCAGAUUCACAGCUGCCAUUGAAAUGCUCCGGACUGAAAUGUUCAGCGGGCUGGACUCGUUGUGAUGAGUCCAGGGCAUGAGCUGCAAUUGCUCCCAUUGGCUGGCAUUCCUUGCGAGAGACAUCCGCUGGGCUGUCCAAUGAGGGAAAGGUCACUGAGGCGUGGAACAGCAACGGCAGUGCACAGUGUGACCUUCUGCCGGUAUGAUGGCAAGCCUUCCCCCAACCACAGCCGUGCAUUGAGCAAGAAGCAACUGGAGGCUGAACAGGAAAGGUCAGAGGAAAGGUGCUGGAAUGUCCUUACGGGACAUUGCCAGGGGACACCUUGGCUGUUUGUGCUCUCCAUGCUAAUCAUCUGCUCCUCAUACCUGGACCCAGCUACGUGAUGAAGAGGAAGAAAAGAUGCCAAUGAGUGUAUUUUACUCUGGUCUUUUAUAAAGUAAAGAAGUUUGUUUCUUUUGAAUCUGACUGAUUUUUGGUCAGAUUUUAAAGUAGCCUUAGAGAGUUUUCAUUUUGUGUGUGUGUGUCUGUUCAGGCAGACACGUGUAACGCAGCACAUGCACAGAGGAAUCCCCUACUGGUUUGUCCAUUAACUAAUUAGCUCAAUUACCAAUGGUACUCUGUUGAUUGAACGUGAAUGCUACUGCUAUAUCAGGCCAGGUAAUUUCCUGGGAAGGUGGCAGUCUUUCUGUCAUUGCUCUUGCCUCUCUCUGACGUAAAUGUGCUUUUUUUAGUGCCGUGCCAUGUUGCCGG